rnacentral:rRNA from 1 species
UAUGGACGAGAGUCUGAACCAGCCAGUAGCGUGAAGGAUGACUGCCCUAUGCGUUGUAAACUUCUUUUAUACGGGAAUAAAGUGAGGCACGUGUGCCUUUUUGUAUGUACCGUAUGAAUAAGGAUCGGCUAACUCCGUGCCAGCAGCCGCGGUAAUACGGAGGAUCCGAGCGUUAUCCGGAUUUAUUGGGUUUAAAGGGAGCGUAGGCGGACGCUUAAGUCAGUUGUGAAAGUUUGCGGCUCAACCGUAAAAUUGCAGUUGAUACUGGGUGUCUUGAGUACAGUAGAGGCAGGCGGAAUUCGUGGUGUAGCGGUGAAAUGCUUAGAUAUCACGAAGAACUCCGAUUGCGAAGGCAGCCUGCUGGACUGUAACUGACGCUGAUGCUCGAAAGUGUGGGUAUCAAACAGGAUUAGAUACCCUGGUAGUCCAAGGGCGAAUUC